CCCGCCCCCCUAUUGCUAUUUCCCUCAGCCCCACCCUGGUCACCACCUCUGGUUCCCAUUCUGGAGGCUCUACAGGUACUUGUUCAGGCUGUUACCCCAACGUCCUGGAGUGGGUUACCCCAAAGCUAGAUGUCCUUGUGGAAAUCUCUACCUCACCUCAGUCUCCCCAGCUGUGAAAUGGAGUCAAGAGCAACUUCAUCUAAGCAUUUGGAGGCUUAACUGAGAAAUGAAGUCUACUGAUAAUUGAAUGGAUGAUGACGCCACCUCUUUCCAGUAUGUUGACUUCCUAGUUAAACAUCUUCAGUCAUCUCAGCCAUUCUUCAGUUGGUAUGGAGACAAAGUGAUGGGGAUUGCUGAUCUGGGAGACAGAUGGAGCUAGCUCCUCAUCGGGGACUCAUGCCCAGUAGCUGAGUCCCCUUAGCCAAGUCACUCAAUUUUCACAGGCUGUAAGUCAUUCUGUUGGGAAAAUGUUGAUUCUGUCUAUCAGCUCUCCCCUUCUAUGGAAAAGGGUCCUCCUGUUCUCACUCAGUACAUGCCUGUUGUGAGCACUGGGUCCAUGAGCCAGACCUGACUGACCAGUGAGGGGUCUCCAUGUCUUUGUCACCAAAGCAAAGUCCUGCCACUUUACUAACACUGAAGACUCUUGAAAAGAUAAGUUUCUUUCUUUUGAAUUAUGAAUUUUAAGAAUACAAGCUUGGACCAAAAUUUAUUUAGCCAGUAUAUUUUGAGGAACUAAAUAUUAUCAUGGUUGUGAGUACUUCAUCAUAUCAAUGUAUACCUCUUUAGAUAUUUUCAACCCAGUGAAUUCAACACAGGUCAGUGGUUAUGUGGAGUUAGAAGGACUGAGGGGAAAACUGAGACUAAGUUGAUCCUCAGCUUAGUAACUGCUGGGGAGGCUUUCACCCCUAAGGCUGGAGAUGACAGGUUGGAAGCUGUGUUAGCGGGUCCUGAAUCUCAGGAGAGGGAGUCUGGGCUGGACUAUGGUGAUAAAUUUCUUAGUCAAAUACCAACCGAAAUACUGUUAUAAGGUUAUUUUUAAGAUGUACAUAGCAUUUAAAACCAGUCAACUUUAGGCAUUUCACCAUAUGUAGUGUGGAUAGGCUUCAUCUAAUAGUUGAAGGACUUGAGAGAGAAGAUUGAGGUUCCCCCACCCAAACAGAACAGAUUUCCCCCUCUUCAGCUAGCAAUAUAGAAAUUCUAACUUUUGGAUUCAAGACUGCGACAUCAGUUCUUUCCCAGAUCUCUUUCCAGCCUGCUGACUUGUGUCUUUCAGAUUUGUCAUUCCAAAACUGUGUGAGCCAAUUCCUUAAAAACCUACAAACCAUGUACUCAUGAACCAAUGUAUGUAUCUCUAUUAACUGUCUACUUACCUUUCACCUUCCUGUUUAUCAUUUAUGUGUUUAUAGAUUAAUCAUCUAUCAUUUAUCCAGUCUUUCCUAUUGGGUCUUUUCCCCUGGAGAAUCAUGACUAUUUCAGAGCAGGGGGAGAAGCAGAGUAGAAAUAGGGUUCCAGCCAAAGCUCUCAAGGCAUUAAAAAAAAAAGCAUGGAGAGCUUGACGGUGAAACUAUACUGAGAAGUUUGCUCUGCUUGAGACAAAAGAGUCAACCUCUGGGCAGUCUUCUGCAGAAGGAUGUUGGUACACACAGACUUGGUCACGUGAACUCAUCUCUCUCUCAUGUUCACAUGUGGGCACCUAUGUAGAGGCUGGAGAUCAACCCUAAUUACUGUUUCUCAGGUGCCACCCACCUUCUCUUUUGAGCCAGGGUCUCUUCAUUGACUUUGCUAUCACAGAGCAGGCUGAGCUGGCUGGUGUGAACCCCAGUGACCCACCUGUCUCCAGCUCCCCAGGACUGAUGUUACAAGCAUGAACAGCCACACCUGGCUUUUUAAUGUAGGCUCUGGGGGAUUGAAAGAUCUUCCUGUUUACAGAACAAGCACAGAGCCAACUGAUCUAUCCCUGUAGCUUGC